GAUGAAGAACGUAGCGAAAUGCGAUACUUGGUGUGAAUUGCAGAAUCCCGUGAACCAUCGAGUCUUUGAACGCAAGUUGCGCCCGAAGCCAUUAGGCCGAGGGCACGCCUGCCUGGGCGUCACACGUCGUUGCCCCCCCAUCUACUCCUUCGGGAUUGCGGGGGGCGGAUGAUGGCCUCUCGUGCGCCUCGUCGCGCGGUUGGCCUAAAUGCCAAGUCCUCGGCGACGCACGCCACGACAAUCGGUGGUUGCGAAACCUCGGUUGCCUGUCGUGUGCGGUCGUCGCGCAUCGAGGGCUCGAAAAAAUUGCCGGGCUUCGGCUCGACUUUCAACGCGACCCCAGGUCAGGCGGGGUUACCCGCUGAAUUUAAGUAUAUCAAUAAGCGGAGGA
rnacentral:misc_RNA from 1 species